CUGACAGAAGAGAGUGAGCAUACACAUAUAAUUAUAUAAAUAUUUUUACUUAAUUUUCUUGAUAUAUAUUGUAUAUAUAAUUUUGCGAGUGCUCACUUCUCUUUCUGUCAAUC